GGAGGAGCUGCGGGAUGGGGCGGUCUGAACAUUGUCCUGUGAUGUACGUGCCCUACUUCCACAUUCCGGAGGGAAAUUAAGAAAGUCACGGGGAAAGAAACAUCGCCCUUCUCAGCCGGCAUCGCCGAGAGACCACCCGUCCCUCUAGGUCACUCUGCCCCACAGGAGACAGCUCUUCCAGAAUGCUUCGCAGUCACACAGUUGUGUCCGACUCUUUGCGACCCAGUGGACUGCAGCACACCAGGCUUAUCUGUCUUUCACCAUCUCCCAGAGCUUGCUCAAACUCAUGUCCAUUGAGUCUCUGAUGCCAUCCAACUGCGAUGACCCAAGGAGGAAAGAGCAGAUAAAACCAAGUAGGGUCUUGGAAUGUAGGAACAGAAAAACCAGACCCUCCCCCAUGUUGUAACUAUUAAUGAAACUGUAUAAUCUGUCUCUUCUCCCACCCCAUAGGGAGAAGGUAUUUGCCCUAUUCUUCCCCCUCCCAGUAUACAUGCCUCAUCCAAUCAGUAAAGGACCCACAAGACCCCUAUCCCACUCCUUGUACCCUGGGUAUAAAGGUGGGCUAAGGAACCCUGUUCAACAUUGUUCUUUGAGCUGGCCCACUGUUCUAACAGC